AGCUUGCUACCUGACCUAGCGGCGGACGGGUGAGUAAUGCUUAGGAAUCUGCCUAUUAGUGGGGGACAACAUUCCGAAAGGAAUGCUAAUACCGCAUACGCCCUACGGGGGAAAGCAGGGGAUCUUCGGACCUUGCGCUAAUAGAUGAGCCUAAGUCAGAUUAGCUAGUUGGUGGGGUAAAGGCCUACCAAGGCGACGAUCUGUAGCGGGUCUGAGAGGAUGAUCCGCCACACUGGGACUGAGACACGGCCCAGACUCCUACGGGAGGCAGCAGUGGGGAAUAUUGGACAAUGGGCGAAAGCCUGAUCCAGCCAUGCCGCGUGUGUGAAGAAGGCCUUUUGGUUGUAAAGCACUUUAAGCGAGGAGGAGGCUACUUGGAUUAAUACUCUAGGAUAGUGGACGUUACUCGCAGAAUAAGCACCGGCUAACUCUGUGCCAGCAGCCGCGGUAAUACAGAGGGUGCGAGCGUUAAUCGGAUUUACUGGGCGUAAAGCGUGCGUAGGCGGCUUUUUAAGUCGGAUGUGAAAUCCNUGAGCUUAACUUAGGAAUUGCAUUCGAUACUGGGAAGCUAGAGUAUGGGAGAGGAUGGUAGAAUUCCAGGUGUAGCGGUGAAAUGCGUAGAGAUCUGGAGGAAUACCGAUGGCGAAGGCAGCCAUCUGGCCUAAUACUGACGCUGAGGUACGAAAGCAUGGGGAGCAAACAGGAUUAGAUACCCUGGUAGUCCAUGCCGUAAACGAUGUCUACUAGCCGUUGGGGCCUUUGAGGCUUUAGUGGCGCAGCUAACGCGAUAAGUAGACCGCCUGGGGAGUACGGUCGCAAGACUAAAACUCAAAUGAAUUGACGGGGGCCCGCACAAGCGGUGGAGCAUGUGGUUUAAUUCGAUGCAACGCGAAGAACCUUACCUGGUCUUGACAUAGUAAGAACUUUCCAGAGAUGGAUUGGUGCCUUCGGGAACUUACAUACAGGUGCUGCAUGGCUGUCGUCAGCUCGUGUCGUGAGAUGUUGGGUUAAGUCCCGCAACGAGCGCAACCCUUUUCCUUAUUUGCCAGCGGGUUAAGCCGGGAACUUUAAGGAUACUGCCAGUGACAAACUGGAGGAAGGCGGGGACGACGUCAAGUCAUCAUGGCCCUUACGACCAGGGCUACACACGUGCUACAAUGGUCGGUACAAAGGGUUGCUACCUAGCGAUAGGAUGCUAAUCUCAAAAAGCCGAUCGUAGUCCGGAUUGGAGUCUGCAACUCG
rnacentral:rRNA from 1 species